rnacentral:rRNA from 1 species
UACAGAGGUCUCAAGCGUUGUUCGGAUUUAUUGGGCGUAAAGGGUGCGUAGGCGGCAAUGUAAGUUGGAUGUGAAAUCUUGAGGCUUAACCUCAAAAUUGCAUUCAAUACUGCGUUGCUUGAGCGCUGUAGAGGAGAUUGGAAUUUACGGUGUAGCAGUGAAAUGCGUAGAUAUCGUAAGGAAGACCGGUGGCGAAGGCGAAUCUCUGGGCAGCUGCUGACGCUGAGGCACGAAGGCCAGGGGAGCGAACGGG